GAUGAACGCUAGCGGCAGGCCUAACACGUGCAAGUCGAGGGGUAGCAGGAUUAAGCUUGCUUAAUUGCUGACGACCGGCGCACGGGUGCGUAACGCGUAUGCAACCUACCUUAUACUGGGGUAUAGCCCGGAGAAAUUCGGAUUAAUCCCCCAUAGUACUAAUGAAUCGCAUGGUUUAUUAGUUAAAGCAUUGCGGUAUAAGAUGGGCAUGCGUCCUAUUAGCUAGAUGGUGAGGUAACGGCUCACCUUGGCUACGAUAGGUAGGGGGCCUGAGAGGGUGGUCCCCCACACUGGUACUGAGACACGGACCAGACUCCUACGGGAGGCAGCAGUGAGGAAUAUUGGUCAAUGGGCGCAAGCCUGAACCAGCCAUGCCGCGUGCAGGAAGAAUGCCCUAUGGGUUGUAAACUGCUUUUAUUUGGGAAUAAACCUCUUUACGUGUAGAGAGCUGAAGGUACCAAAUGAAUAAGCACCGGCUAACUCCGUGCCAGCCGCCGCUGUAA
rnacentral:rRNA from 1 species